rnacentral:rRNA from 1 species
GACGAACGCUGGCGGCAUGCCUAACACAUGCAAGUCGAGCGAGUGGAGUUCUUCGGAACAAAGCUAGCGGCGGACGGGUGAGUAACACGUGGGCAACCUGCCUCAUAGAGGGGAAUAGCCUCCCGAAAGGGAGAUUAAUACCGCAUAAGAUUGUAGCUUCGCAUGAAGUAGCAAUUAAAGGAGCAAUCCGCUAUGAGAUGGGCCCGCGGCGCAUUAGCUAGUUGGUGAGGUAACGGCUCACCAAGGCGACGAUGCGUAGCCGACCUGAGAGGGUGAUCGGCCACAUUGGGACUGAGACACGGCCCAGACUCCUACGGGAGGCAGCAGUGGGGAAUAUUGCACAAUGGGGGAAACCCUGAUGCAGCAAUGCCGCGUGAGUGAUGACGGCCUUCGGGUUGUAAAGCUCUGUCUUCGGGGACGAUAAUGACGGUACCCGAGGAGGAAGCCACGG